rfam:Ancylostoma duodenale strain Zhejiang A_duodenale-1.0_Cont3383.2, whole genome shotgun sequence.
GCAUCGGUGGUUCAGUGGUAGAAUGCUCGCCCGCCGCGCGGGCAGCCGGGGUUCGUUUCUCGGCCGAUGCA